GGAGCGAUGGCCGAGUCCGGCUUAUGGCGGCUGUCUUGAAAACAGCUGUGGUGAAAACCACCGGGGGUUCAAAUCCCUCUCGCUCCGCCA
rnacentral:tRNA from 1 species